GGCGGCGGCGAGUCUCUGCCCGGCAGGAUCCGCUCUGCCUCCGGCCACGGCCUUGGCCUCGGCGCCAACCACAGGGGAACGCGGGCUGUGUCGACGCCCACCUCCGGCUCGGUUUACCGACCUGUGCAAUGGGCCGAAGUUCUUCGCCGGCGGACUCAGAAGCGGGCGUUUCUUCAGCACACACAGUCAAGAGCCUGCUGUGUGCGCGGAACUGGAGUGGAAGGAUCCCUGGGCUACGUGUGGGAGACGGACUCAGAGACUGUGCAGCGGCAGGAGACCAGAGGGAGGUGACUGCAGUUGUCCAGGACAGGAAGAAUGCGGGACUCAGCACAUCGUAGGUGUCCUGGAGACGUGGGAACUGCUGGACACGUGGGACCUGCUGGACGCAUGGGGAAAAAUGAACUUUUGAGGGACACUUUCUUCGCUUGGGAAGUGAAUGCUUUCCAUCUACUUUACACGAACAUAGACGCUCUCCACCACCUGAUGAGGCCUACUGUGUGUUGGCAUUCUGCUGAGUGUGGGGGACACAGGCUUGACCCUCCCGGUCUCCUGAAACACUGCACAGUGGGGAAGGCAGAUAAUGAUCAGGUUGUCUGAUCAUCAAGUACAAAUACAUCAUCACAAGCAUUGAUCUGUGCUAAGAAGAAAAGAUCCCUGGGACUAUAAGCGUGUGCAUGGACAUCUGGUGAUGGAGACAGCCUGUGAGGAUGUACUCCCAAAUGCCCAAGGAGUAGCACGAUGUCAGAUGAGGAAACUGAGGCUCAGUUGGUGAAGCCACUGGCCAGAGGCCACACAGCUGGAUUUAACCCAGGAGUCCUUAUAAGAUGGAGGCAGAAGGAGAUUUGACUACGGAAAAGGAGAAGGCAGAGAGAAUGACAGAAACAGACUGAAAGAAUGCACGUCGAAGAUGGAGGAAGGGGCCACAAGCCUGGGAAUGCAGGUGAUCACUAGGAGUUGAAAACGGCAAGGAAACAGCUUCUCCUCGGGAGUCUCCAGCAAGAACCAGCCCUGCCAGCACCCUGACUUUUGCCUGGAGACUGAUUUCAGGCUUCUGACCUCCAGAACCGUAAGUAAAUAAAUUCACGUUGUUUUAAGCCAAUAAGUUUGUG